GCAAUGCUCAUCAUCAUUCUCAUCAAUACCGAAGUUAUUGAUAAAAAAAUAUCCGUAGGUAGUAAUAGUACUACUAUCAAAGAAGAAGAAAUACAUUCACUGAAUCAUGGCCACAAUCAGUAUGUUCCUCCGUUUCUUUUUAUUUGUGUUGAUUUUCAUGCCAGCGUCCUCCUCGAGCAGGCUGGUAUUUGAGGAGGAUCACGAAGUUAACUGCCCAAAAAUGUUAUCUGCAAAGGUAUUAUGUGCGUCCCACCAGUAGAUGGGUGCCCAGAAAUUAGAUGCAGUUAUGGUCAAUACAAGCCUUCAUGCUGUGGCUGCCAAACAUGUUGUCCUGCACCUUAGAUUACCUAUUAAAUUCUCGUCCAACAACAUGUCAUAUCGCUAAUUCUUGCAUAAUAUGUAACGCAUUUAUAACCUGAGACGGGGUUCAUAUUAAACAAAUUGUAAUGAUAUUCACUUAUGUGUUAAUGUUUGGGUUAGGGAUGGUCGUGAAAAUCAAUCGACUUCACUUUUUCAUCGUUAAGUGGACGUUACAACAACCACUACAACCAGAAAAACUGGACACCUGAAUAUCUCUCGGCCGAUCUGAUUUUUUCCUCUAUCCAAGUCAUGAACAUCUUGUGUCUGUUGUCAUAUGACAUCCACAUAUCCAAGUCAUGAACAUCUUGUGUCUGUUGUCAUAUGACAUCCACAUAUGUGGACCUCCCAUAACAGAUAGAAAGCUGUAAUUAACAAGUCAAGAUUAGACAACUGUCGAAUUCCAUCGGUUCAUGUGUUUAAAAUGAUCCAUUUGUGUGACAUUUCACUGGCGGCAGUCUGCAUGACACAUGCAAGGCUUGUUUUUCCUUCGUCAAAAUUUUAUCUCAUUAUUCCUUAUUAAGAUUUUAACGAGGUAUUAUGUACGUGUUCAAUAUUAUUUUAUGUAAUUUUAGAGUUUUUUUA